rnacentral:rRNA from 1 species
GCUUUUAACGGACGCUUCGGUUGAAGUUAAGAGUGGAAAGCGGCGGACGGGUGAGUAACGCGUAGGCAACCUGCCCCUUGCAGAGGGAUAGCCUCGGGAAACCGGGAUUAAAACCACAUAAAUCCUUUUUAUCGCAUGAUAGAGAGGACAAAGAUUUAUCGGCAAGGGAUGGGCCUGCGUCUGAUUAGUUAGUUGGUGGGGUAACGGCCUACCAAGGCGACGAUCAGUAGCCGACCUGAGAGGGUGAACGGCCACAUUGGAACUGAGACACGGUCCAAACUCCUACGGGAGGCAGCAGUGGGGAAUCUUGCACAAUGGGCGAAAGCCUGAUGCAGCAACGCCGCGUGAGCGAAGAAGGCCUUUGGGUCGUAAAGCUCUGUCGGUAGGGAAGAAGGAAGUGACGGUACCUACCGAGGAAGCCCCGGCUAACUACGUGCCAGC